rnacentral:rRNA from 1 species
GUGCCAGCCGCCGCGGUAAAACGUAGGGGGCGAGCGUUAUCCGGAUUUACUGGGCGUAAAGCGCCCGCAGGCGGCGGGUCAAGUUGGACGUGAAAGCUCCCGGCUUAACUGGGAGAGGUCGUACAAAACUGACCGGCUAGAGGCUGAGAGAGGAGAGCAGAAUUCCCGGUGUAGUGGUGGAAUGCGUAGAUAUCGGGAGGAAUACCAGUGGCGAAGGCGGCUCUCUGGCUCAGAACUGACGCUGAGGGGCGAAAGCGUGGGGAGCGAACGGGAUUAGAAACCCCCGUAGUCC